GGUGCCUUAGAGAAGUGGUUUAACUCACUCCCUUUGGGCUAUAAACUCUGGGAGAGAUCGGGGGUUCGAAUCCCCCAGGCACCC